rnacentral:lncRNA from 1 species
CAGAGUGAGAAUUUCCCUUUGACUUGUUAGGGGAACAGUUCUGGACCUGGCAAGGGCUUGUUAUGGUGACAAGAGGCAGGGGAGGCAAGGUACAGAUGUAGAAGGCAGACUGCAGGAAAGGGGUGAAGUAAAGGCGAGAUUCAAGCGACUGUUCUAAAAGAUCUCAUCUUUAUGAUACUGAAGCCAUGUCCUGGAGGAGCAAGCUUGAGUGUGCACAGGCCAAGAUGAGACAGGGAUCAAUGAUGAGGUGCCUACCAGAACACUGAAGACGAAGACUGCCUGCCACAAACAGGCUCGAGAAGGUUCCAUGAGGAAAUCAAGAUGCCAAUCGAGAGGAAAGAGAAAGAGGAUGCGUCCGUUGAAUGUUGAGAAACAAAAGGUCCAGGAGUGGAUCAAUUCUCUUCUGCAGAUGCCUGAACAAAGCUCUCCAGUUUAGGAAAAUAGAGUUCUUGUUUCAAAGCAGUUCCUGAGAACUGCCCAGAUUUGAAUUGAAUAGUUCCCGAGCUACAAGCUGGAGCAACUCUAAACAAAUCUUUCCCUCCUUGAAUUGACCUGGGUAGAGCCCCUUUUAUCUGGUCUUUUCUGAAGAAGAGCUCACAGAUGAGUCCCCUGGGAAGAGAGAACCUCAAAUGAGAAAUGCCAAUGCCCCCUUCAGACUGGCCUCCAGGUCACUGGAACUGGUUUGUGGGAGAUGUGGACUACAUAGCUCCUAGCCAGCUUCAAGCAGAGCUUAACGGACCAUUCUGGUGGGAUCUUGGAGGACUAGAAUGUUGAAAGAAAUGGGGACAGCAGAGGCCUAGUUCAUGAGGCCACAAAGAGGAGCAAGAAGCAAGUGAAAUGGCUUGGGGUCACAGUUCGGAGAUUGUUCUGAGUCUGAGAAGAGACACUGAAUUUCUUAACAAUGUUGAGACUGUUAAAAGACUGUAGGGACCUGGAAAGAUGGAUCAAAUGCAUUUUACAUUAUGGAAUAAUAAUAAUAAAAAAGCUUUAGAGACCA